CAUUAAGAAGCUAUAAAGCAUUAACCUUUUAAGUUAAAGAUGAGGACUAUAAAUAUCCUCCUUAAUG
rnacentral:tRNA from 1 species